UGCUACCAGCUUCUAGUGGGCAGAGUCCCGGCUGCUGCUGACCAUCCUAUUGUGCACAGGACAGCCCCACAGCCAAGAAUCCUGAGACCCCAAAUGUAACCAUGCUGAGGUUGAGAGGCAUACUUUAGGAAAAGUAGAAAGGAAAGUAGAAGGUGGAAAAAGAAUCAAGAGGAAUGGUGGCCUGGUGGGAAGCGGGGAGCCUCUAGCACAUUAGCUCCAGAUGACAGUCACCAACACAUGGGAGCCAAUGAUGAAACACAAGCAACACGGAUGCUGUGGAAGAACAUCUCCAGAGUUCUCAGCAAAUCUUGGCGGAAGUCCAUGGGCUUAGUGAUGCUUGGCUGGAGCCAGAAUGCCUGUGUGUGUCUUUGAAGAAGAAAGGGAUGAGCCAGUUUGGAAGGUAAUCCGCAGGCACCAAGGGCAGCAAGCCCCCUGCAGUGGGACUGUAUGGCUGUGCCAGAUUGGACCACAGGGACAUCCAGGGUGCCCAAAUCCAAUCCAAUGCAGUAAGGGCAGGUUGAUGGGUCACCAAGAAAACCCACUCAUCACCACUGGCUCCAGAGGAUGGACCUCAGGGGCUGGCACCCCAGGGAUGGUCGAGCUACAAAUGGCAGAGAAUGAACUUAAAGCAGGUAAUUGGAUAACAGGUGUCAGAGGACCGAACAAGCAGAGAGAGAAUGCUGAAACAGUAUUAUUCCUGCAGUUAGAAAUAGCAACUUCUGAAAGAAGCGACCAUCCCAAGGUGGGUCAGAGACUCAUGUAAAACAUAAAGUUAUAACACUGUGAGACAACACAGGAGAGAAUAUUUGCAUAACAAAUGCAUGAACCAUAAAAGGGAAAAUGGUUCAGAAACUGGACUUCACUAAAACUUCAAAAGUUUUGCUCUUCAAAAGACACUGAUACAAAAAUAAAAUUUAAGUCGCAGAAUAAGUGAAAAUAUCUUCAGUACAUGUGCUUGACAAAGGACUGACACCUAGAAUACAUAAGGAAUUGCUACAACUCAGUAAUAGGAAGACAACCAACACAAUAAAAAAAGGACAAAAUGUCUGGAAAUAUACCUCAUCAAAGAAGA